rnacentral:rRNA from 1 species
UACGGAGGGUGCAAGCGUUAUCCGGAUUUAUUGGGUUUAAAGGGUGCGUAGGUGGAUUGGUAAGUCAGUGGUGAAAUACUUUCGCUUAACGAAGGAACUGCCAUUGAUACUACCAGUCUUGAAUACAGUGGAGGUAGGCGGAAUGCGUCAUGUAGCGGUGAAAUGCUUAGAUAUGACGCAGAACACCAAUUGCGAAGGCAGCUUGCUACAUUGUUAUUGACACUGAGGCACGAAAGCGUGGGGAUCAAACAGG